rnacentral:rRNA from 1 species
UGAUUGAAGCUUGCUUCAUGAUUCAGAUUUUGGUGAGUGGCGGACGGGUGAGUAACACGUGGGUAACCUGCCCAGAAGUGGGGGAUAACAUUUGGAAACAAGUGCUAAUACCGCAUAACAACUUAGAUCACAUGAUCUUUGUUUAAAAGAUGGUUUUGCUAUCUCUUCUGGAUGGACCCGCGGCGUAUUAGCUAGUUGGUGAGGUAAUAGCUCACCAAGGCGAUGAUACGUAGCCGACCUGAGAGGGUAAUCGGCCACAUUGGGACUGAGACACGGCCCAAACUCCUACGGGAGGCAGCAGUAGGGAAUCUUCCACAAUGGACGAAAGUCUGAUGGAGCAAUGCCGCGUGAGUGAAGAAGGUUUUCGGAUCGUAAAACUCUGUUGUUGAAGAAGAACAUACGUGAGAGUAACUGUUCACGUACUGACGGUAUUCAACCAGAAAGCCACGGCUAACUACGUGCCAGCAGCCGCGGUAAUACGUAGGUGGCAAGCGUUGUCCGGAUUUAUUGGGCGUAAAGAGAAUGUAGGCGGUUUAUUAAGUUUGAAGUGAAAGCCCUCGGCUCAACCGAGGAAGUGCUUCGAAAACUGGUAAACUUGAGUGCAGAAGAGGAAAGUGGAACUCCAUGUGUAGCGGUGGAAUGCGUAGAUAUAUGGAAGAACACCAGUGGCGAAGGCGGCUUUCUGGUCUGUAACUGACGCUGAGAUUCGAAAGCAUGGGUAGCAAACAGGAUUAGAUACCCUGGUAGUCCAUGCCGUAAACGAUGAGUGCUAAGUGUUGGAGGGUUUCCGCCCUUCAGUGCUGCAGCUAACGCAUUAAGCACUCCGCCUGGGGAGUACGAUCGCAAGAUUGAAACUCAAAGGAAUUGACGGGGGCCCGCACAAGCGGUGGAGCAUGUGGUUUAAUUCGAAGCAACGCGAAGAACCUUACCAGGUCUUGACAUACCAUGAAAAGCUUAAAGAUAAGUCUUUCCCUUCGGGGACAUGGAUACAGGUGGUGCAUGGUUGUCGUCAGCUCGUGUCGG